CUCUGACUGUCACACAUCCCUGGGCAGGAAUGAGUUGAUAAGAUGGGAGGGGCCUAAGUCAUAAUGGAGCAGGGGGGAGGUGGGAAGAGCUCCCUUCCACCCUGCCCCUCACCCCUGUUAGUGUGAAAAUAGGCUAAGUUCAAAAGUAUUUUUAUUCAGGGAAAACGAAAUGGCAUUUUCUGAACUGAGCAACCUCUUCAGUUUUUUGUUUUUUUUUUCAGACGGAGUUUUGCUCUUGUCACCCAGGCUGCAGUGCAGCGGCGCGAUCUCGGCUCACUGCAACCUCCGCCUCCCGGGUUCAAGUGAUUCUCCUACCUCAGCCUCCCGAGUAGCUGGGAUUAUGGGCACGCGCCACCAUGUCCAGCUAAUUUUUGUAUUUUUAGUAGAGACGGAGUUUCACUGUGUUGGCCACGCUGGUUAUCAAUCUCUUGACCUUGUGUUCU
rnacentral:lncRNA from 1 species